GGAGUCGUGUGGUAGCGGACUAUCCCUUCGGGCUUCGGACCCGAUGACCUGGGUUCAAAUCCCAGCGGCUCCG
rnacentral:tRNA from 4 species